ACCUGACUGGCUCAAUCGGUGGAGCAUGUGACUCUUGAUCUCAAAGUUGUGAGUUUGAGCCCCACGUUAGGUG
rnacentral:tRNA from 1 species